ACAUGACUCAUCACGUGACAGUGACCUGUUAUUCCUGAGCAUAGGAGCUCCUCAAGUAAAUGUUUCACCAUCUUACAGCCCAGUGGCAGUGAUUCCAAGUAGCCCUGAGUUGUUGCUUCCACCAGAAGACCGAACUUCCGAUGUUCCAGCCACUUGUACAGUUACUCCGAGUGUAGCACCAGUUCCAUCUAGCUCUCUUCCUGCUCCCUCUACGAGUUCUGAUACAAGAAAUGUGGUGGUGCGAAAAACAACCCGGUCCACAGCUGGCCAGCAUUCAAACAUCCAUCAUCUCCCAAGACCAACAGGGGAGGUGGCACAAGGGGCUGCUAACUCUAUUUCUGAGCCUAGGGUACAUGCUGUCUCUGCAUUUUUUAGGCCUUGGGACUAAUCUGGGUGUCUUUGUAAUUCAUCGUCGGGGCGACGAUGCAAGAAGGAGGGGUAGAAUGUGGCAGGAUGAAUGUUAUCCCUCGGUCCAACCCACUUUCAGCCUGGCCCAUUAGGGGGCGCUGGUAUAAAUAGUGGCCAUUUGAGUGUCUCUGCAUUGCUUGCCUGUGAUCUCCUUUUUGGUCACCUGACUUCCUCGGUGUGGUAGAGAUCGUUUGUGGGUUACUCCUCUAAAGUCUCCAUCGCGGCUGGUCGUAGCUAUAGAAGCCUCCUCUGAGCUAUUCUGCUUACAUUCUAUGACCCGGCUUACUUGGAAGAGUGGGCCUUAGUUUUGCGCCAAGCUACGUGAACUGAAGUGCUGCUGUUUUGCCUUGCUGUGCUUUUACUGUCUGUUCCCGUUGUGAGAAUUCUUCCCUGCUGCUGUCAGCUUUUACAGUGGACGUCGGCGUGGACAACGGCCAUAUGCAUGCCGGUUAUCGGAGUCAGCUGGCGUGCAUAUUGAUUGACUGUUAACUUAUCGUCGUGUGGACGGCAAGUUGGAGCAGUACGGCGAUUCCGUUUGCUCCAGAUUUUAGAGUUUUAUUCAGAUUAUGCGGAGUGCCGACGUGGAGGAGACUAGGGUGCCUUGGUGGUGGGAUCCCUUGAGUGUACACACCUGCCUUGUUUAGUUUAUUAGUGUGAGUGUGUGUGAUAGUAUGUUGCACUUGUGUUUUGGGUGUGUUUUCUUUCUUUAGU